GUUGGUUUGGCCACAUCAUGCUUUAUUAGGGGCCGGCCGGCUCGGUUAGGGACUCUGUCAGCUGCACAUGAUAGGAAAUCAGCCUUGACUGGCUUACAACAGGAGAGGGGAGAUACUGGCUCCUGAAAGCUCAAGGCUGAAGGGCUGGUCCACCUUUAAGUGCAGCUGGACUCAGGGUUCGAAGACCAUCACCAGGACCUGUUUUUCUCAGUGCUGAUUUCGUUCUCAGCCACGUUCCUCCUGGAGCGGCCAGAUGGCUGUGGCCCUUGCGAGGUGCCCACCUCCCCUGCCAAUCUGCAGGGAAGGUCAGUGUGUCUUGUGCCUAGCAUUCCCAGAAGAAGUCCUGAGAUUCAGGGUCAUUGGCCCGACCUCGAUCCCAUGCUCCCAGGGAGUUCCGGGCGUGCUCCAGACCCGGGCGAUAAAAGUGACAGAUACAGACUCUGUGCACUUAAUUUUGACUCCAGGAGGCUGCUCUUGAGCUAAACUGCCCAACUCCCCAUCCUGACUCACCAGCCGUCUGACCUCGAGCAAGCCAGAGGUGCAAAGAGCUGGAGCCCUUUCUGCAGGCCUGUGUGUACCCCGUGACUGCCGGGGUUGGGGGCAGAUGGAGGCAUUCGUGCCACCUGCUCCAGACACGGCUGGGACGACACGGCGCUGAGUGGCAAGGCUUGGUUCUGCCCCGAAGGUUCACAGAGACCCCCUGGACCUCAGUCUUCUCAUCUGUAAAAUGGUGCCGAAAGCGGACGGCCGUGUAGGACUGUUCCCCGGAUGAAAUAAGCCGUUUCGUGCAACACACUCGGCCCGUGGCUACUACUUGUUCCUCUGAACUUCGGAGCUUUCAUAACUUUUCCUGUGCCCAUGUUUGCGUAGGGUGACGAUGCCGCUCACCUACGUGGGUACGGCAACCCCCUUGGGUUCUUGCUUUCCCAGUGGCCAGGGAUUUGCACUGAGCCAUUGCAUCAGUUAGGACUCCUGGUUGCAAGUGACCGAAGCAUUGAUCCUUACUAGAUUACAUGAAAGGGGAAUUCGCUGGCUCCGUGGGGAGCUCUAAAGGCGGCCAAGGGUAGAGGCUGGCUUCAGGCACCGCCGGAUCCAGGGAUGCAACUGAUACCAUCAGGAUCGGGUUUCUCUCUCUCUUCAUUUCUCACCACCCCCCUUCCCUCGUUGUUGGCUCCCUCCCCGUGGUGGCAGAAAUGGCUCUAGUCUCAUCUUCUCAGGAUCGAGGCCAGUGGGAAAGAGCCAGCCAGCCCCAGAAUUCCCAGCAAGAGUCUCCAUGCAUCUCUCUGCCCUUCCCGGGGCCCAUCCAUCGCUGUGGCCAGAAGAAUGGGGUGCCCAGGGGAAGCCAGGCUCAGAUGGCAUGCCAGCCCUAAAGCCACCGGGUAGGUGUGCUCUGCUCAAACCCCAGAUCCAAGAGGACAGAUUGGUGGUUGUCCAGAGGGAAAUCGGGUAUGGCAGCCACCCACACUCUACGGCCGUGUGUCCCCAAGUGGACCUUGAGGAGCUGACUUCUCGAAUCUCAAGAAACAGAAUGGGCUACGAGUGGGUGCCAAGCCAGGCUGAGUGGCUCCGAAACAAAUUAGAAACUCCCAUCUGAGCCUCCUUGGGGGGCCAGCUGCUGACCAACUCGACCAGCUGACCUUGAACGGGAUCCUUCCCUCAACUUGACCCACAGCCUGCCAGGGGGAAAGCUGGCCUCCUGGAUCGAGGGGCUGACAGGCUGGAGACUUUUCCAAAGCGUUUGGCAUUCGGCAGGGUCCAGCAAUCACUUUGAUUAUUAGUUACUAAUUAUUUGUCUUUGCUGUAAAAAGGAACCAGCCUUUAGUGCAAAGUCCCCCUCCCCCACCGCCCCCAGGGCUCACAAAAAAAAUAAUCACAAUGGGGGCGCCUUGGGUGGCGCAGUCUGCUAAGGGUC